rnacentral:rRNA from 1 species
GACGAACGCUGGCGGCGUGCUUAACACAUGCAAGUCGAAUGGAAAGGCCCUGCUUUUGUGGGGUGCUCGAGUGGCGAACGGGUGAGUAACACGUGAGUAACCUGCCCUUGACUUUGGGAUAACUUCAGGAAACUGGGGCUAAUACCGGAUAGGAGCUCCUGCUGCAUGGUGGGGGUUGGAAAGUUUCGGCGGUUGGGGAUGGACUCGCGGCUUAUCAGCUUGUUGGUGGGGUAGUGGCUUACCAAGGCUUUGACGGGUAGCCGGCCUGAGAGGGUGACCGGCCACAUUGGGACUGAGAUACGGCCCAGGCUCCUACGGGAGGCAGCAGUGGGGAAUAUUGCACAAUGGGCGGAAGCCUGAUGCAGCAACGCCGCGUGCGGGAUGACGGCCUUCGGGUUGUAAACCGCUUUCGCCUGUGACGAAGCGUGAGUGACGGUAAUGGGUAAAGAAGCACCGGCUAACUACGUG